rnacentral:rRNA from 1 species
GAUGAACGCUGGCGGCGUGCCUAAUACAUGCAAGUCGAGCGAACGGACGAGAAGCUUGCUUUUCUGAUGUUAGCGGCGGACGGGUGAGUAACACGUGGAUAACCUACCUAUAAGACUGGGAUAACUUCGGGAAACCGGAGCUAAUACCGGAUAAUAUUUUGAACCGCAUGGUUCAAAAGUGAAAGACGGUCUUGCUGUCACUUAUAGAUGGAUCCGCGCUGCAUUAGCUAGUUGGUAAGGUAACGGCUUACCAAGGCAACGAUGCAUAGCCGACCUGAGAGGGUGAUAGGCCACACUGGAACUGAGACACGGUCCAGACUCCUACGGGAGGCAGCAGUAGGGAAUCUUCCGCAAUGGGCGAAAGCCUGACGGAGCAACGCCGCGUGAGUGAUGAAGGUCUUCGGAUCGUAAAACUCUGUUAUUAGGGAAGAACAUAUGUGUAAGUAACUGUGCACAUCUUGACGGUACCGAAUCAGAAAGCCACGGCUAACUACGUG